UCGCGUUUGAGUAAGAGUGUCUCUAUCGGUCCAUAAGUUUUUCGAAAAUUUUGGCAUUUUUUAAAAUUCUGUGCGAAAAACUGUUGAUUUUCUCAAAUGGUAAGUUCCAUUCUAUCGGUUUGUGGUAUUAAUGUUGUUCAAAGUGCGAUUUUUACCGAGAAAGUGCGAUUUUUGUAACCAUCUGACGUCCGUGUCAAACGGGAAGUUUUAAUACGCACCGACUAGCAUUUGAGGCUGAAUAUUGAGGUUAAAUAGGUAAGUGGAUCAAUGGAGAUAGUGAAUUCAGUGAAUGCAAGAAAACUGAAAUUUAGCAGAUGAUGCAAGAAGUAUUUCAACGGUGUUUCUAAGAAGGAAAUGCCAUAUUAACGGCUACCCCGUAACCAUAAUCAUCCCAUAAUCGGCCUGAGAUUAGAGAAAUGAGCCUGAACAGGAACGAACUAGCCCGACCUCUAGUUGAAAUGGCAAAUUUACAAAUGGCCACAAUUUUUUGAAAGAAAUCGUCAUGGGCGAUCAGUGCGGUGUCAUCUGCAUAGUGCGUAUAUAUGUAAGCGAGUGCUUUGAUUUGAAGCCAAAUUGAGAUGUUUUUCUAUUAUUUUUUGCAAUCUGUGCACGUUUAUAUAUAAAUAAUUUUAAUUAUAAAU